GCAAUCGGGAAGCUGGCGAGAACCAGGCGACAGCCGGAGGGCAGCGGCGGGCUCGCGCGCGAGGCUUUCUAGGAACAAGGGCGCCGCAGAGGAAUGUGCGGGAGAGAGAUCUUAUUCCGAAGAGUCUUCAGAAAUGUGAUUCACCUGCUAUAGAAGUAUUUAUUCUGCUUUCAGAAUUCCAGCACGGAAUUCUGUUCUACGUGUUAACCAGCCCUACAUACUUUUCACAGCCACCAUGUAAGAUACCUUUUCCGGGUGUUAAAAGAGCCUUCGAGUCCCAUCUGGUAAACGUCAGAUACCUUUUCCGGGUGUUAAAAGAGCCUUCGAGUCCCAUAAUCUGG